rnacentral:lncRNA from 1 species
CAAACACUGGCUGGGGACCUGCACGGUUAGACAAAGGGAAAACAAGGAUCUAAUUGAUCCAUAAUAUUCAUGAGAAACAGUAAAAAUAAAUUCCAUACUUAAUUGGUAUAUAAAUCAUUUCAGACGUGAAUAAUGAUGCCAGGAUAGGUAAUUUAUUUUAAAAAUCAGAGACUCAUAAAGCCUGGUUUAGUUGUACUUAAAAUCCUCUCUGAAACAAGAAUGGACUCCUCUGUGGAGAAAUUAGUUUCCAGGCACAGAGAUUCAACCUGAAACUGACAGGCAGGAAUAGAGAGGGAAGGAGCAGGCCCCAGGCCAAGGUUGGACUGGAUCUACUCAAAGGACCAUGCAGUGGUUUAACUUCAUCUAUCCUUCUAUACCUGGAACUAAAUAGCAGCCAAGGUAAUUUCUCACGUGCAUUUAAGCAAAAUGCAAAGUUAAAAAUCUCCACGCACUCCGUCAAACCAAGGGAUUUCAAGCCAUGGGUAAAAUGAGGAAAACGCAAGGUGUUUCCAAAUGAAGAAGCCAGAAACUUCAGAAAGCAUUUGCUUCUUCUCCAAGGGCCCAGGAGCAAAAAGGGUGAGGUAGUUCCCAACACUGCUUGUCUGUUCUUAAAUGCACUGUACCUCUGUCUCUUAGAAUUAGGUUUUAUGCCUUGCACAUUAAGGGAGAAGGGUGCUCCGAAUUAUCACUGUAGCACUCACCUUCUCCUUCGGGCCUCUGAAGAGAAUACGCUCCCCCGAAAACACUGCCAUAAAAUAGAAGAAAGGUCUUCUAAGUCACAAUCAUACACAUUCUUUAUCUUUCUAGGUGCCAAUAAAUUUUUAUUAAAAGAGAACAACUAUCUUUCAAAACAGUUACAAUACUGCUUUUCUGAUUAACUGCUGGGAAGCCCUGGUUUCCCAUGUAGGUUUGAUUCAUGAAGCCUCUGGAAGAGUCUUCCAAUCCGACUUCAGUCUCCUCUGGGAAGCACAGGAAGAGCACUGCUGAUGCUGUCUCCCCUUCUGCACCUGUGACCCCCGAGGGGCUCCCUCCUCCCCUCCGGACCUGACUUGCCCCGUCAGGGGAAUUUCACUGAAAGCAACAAGUAAAUCAAGCCUAGCCAGCUCUCUGGAAAACUUCCCAACAGCCCCCGCCCCCAAAAAAUCAAGAUAUAAACUUCAUUUCUUCACGUUCAACUUUCACAGAUGAAUAUGAACAGGGUCAUAUUUGUGAAAGUAUCAAAGAGCAAUACAUUUGUCUGAACAGCCUCUGAUAGCUUUCAUCGCUGUGACAAAACACCCAAGAAAGUCAGCUUAAAAGAGAAAAGAUUUAUUUUGGCUUACAGUUUCAGAGGUUGUAGUCCAUGGUGAACUGGUUCCAUUGCUUUUAAGCCGGGGGGCCAGGCAGAAACAUCAUGAUGAAAAGUGUGAGAGAGAAGCCCUGCCCACCUUGUGGCGGCCAGUAAGCAGGGAGAAAAAGCCAGGAACGGACUGAGGACAAGAUAUCCCCUCCAGCAGCACCACCCCCCCAGUGAGCUACUCCCUUCAGGCGGGCCCCACCUCCUAAUGAAACACACAGCUAAAUAUUCGGCAAUGGACCAAUCCCUUGAUGAGGUCAGAAACUCAUGAUCAAAUCUCUGUCUCACCUUUGAACAUGGCUGCUUUGAAGAUCAACCUCCCCGACGUGAGUCUUUGGGGACAUUUCAUAUUUAAACCGCCUCUCAUAAUCUUUCAAUUAAACAUUUUCUUUGAAA